rnacentral:rRNA from 1 species
UACGUAGGGGGCAAGCGUUGUCCGGAAUCAUUGGGCGUAAAGCGCGCGUAGGCGGCCUUGUAAGUCCGUUCUGAAAGCCCGGGGCUCAACCCCGGGAGGCGGAUGGAUACUGCAAGGCUCGAGUACGGAAGAGGCGAGUGGAAUUCCCGGUGUAGCGGUGAAAUGCGCAGAUAUCGGGAGGAACACCAAUGGCGAAGGCAGCUCGCUGGGACGUUACUGACGCUGAGACGCGAAAGCGUGGGGAGCAAACAGG